UGGGGAAUCUUGCACAAUGGGCGACAGCCUGAUGCAGCAAUGCCGCGUGAGGGAAGACGGCCUUCGGGUUGUAAACCUCUUUCAGUUGGGAUGAAGGUUGGACGGUGAAUAGCCGCGCCAACUGACCGUACCUUCAGAAGAAGCUCCGGCUAACUACGUGCCAGCAGCCGCGGUAAUACGUAGGGGGCGAGCGUUGUCCGGAAUCAUUGGGCGUAAAGCGCGUGUAGGCGGUUACGUAAGUCUGCUGUGAAAGUCGGAGGCUCAACCUUCGAAAGCCGGUGGAUACUGCGUGACUUGAGUACGGAAGAGGAGAGUGGAAUUCCUGGUGUAGCGGUGAAAUGCGCAGAUAUCAGGAGGAACACCAACGGCGAAGGCAGCUCUCUGGGACGUAACUGACGCUGAGACGCGAAAGCGUGGGGAGCAAACA
rnacentral:rRNA from 1 species